GCCUAACAGCUGGACGUUCAGGCCCACGUAAAAAGUGGGCCUGAAAGCCGAGGCCUCAAUCAAACUGAUUGACAUAUCCGUAUCAGCUGUUCACAUCUUAUUUCUCUCAAGUUCAUUGCCAACAUAAUGAGAUGAUAUGCAUUCUUCCGUCUAACAUUAACGUGUUGUUUUGGCUGCAAUUUUGACUGCUUCACCUGUUUAACCAUUUUCUUUGUGUUUUGAAUGAUGAGCGGUGAAUUAUAUUGCAGUCUCUACUUCCUGUCACAGAAUGUAUUCCCAUGGUGGUCGAUCCAUUUCACUAUUUGCAAAGUGCUCUGCAACUAGUGUUUGAUUGCCAGUCGUUCUGUAUGGAUGAGUUUCAAUUGCAACAUCUGCUGUCAACAGUUUAGGUAGUUAAACUGAUUGACGUUUCCAUAUCAGCUGUUCACAUCUUGUUUCUCUCCAGUUCAUUGCCAACAUAAUCAGAUGUAAGUUUGAUUCU